rnacentral:rRNA from 1 species
UGGGGAAUCAUGGUCAAUGGGCGAAAGCCUGAACCUGCGACGCCGCGUGAGUGAUGAAGGUCGUAAGAUCGUAAAACUCUUUUCAGGGAUCUUAAAGCCUGUCUGUCAACAACAGGCAGGUCUGACUCUCCCUGGAAGAAGCCCCAGCCAACUACGUGCCAGCAGCUGCGGUAAUACGUAGGGGGCGAGCGUUCUUCGGAAUUACUGGGUGUAAAGGGUAUGUAGGCGGCCCUUCAAGUCGCGUGUCAAAGUCCAGUGCUCAACGCUGGGUGUGCGCGCGAUACUGACGGUCUGGAGGGCUGGAGAGGUGAGCGGAAUUCCCGGUGUAGUGGUAAAAUACGUAGAGAUCGGGAGGAACACCAGCGGCGCAGGCGACUCACUAGACAGUUUCUGACGCUAAGAUACGAAAGCGUGGGGAGCAAACA